AUCUCCGUUCUGUUUCAUCACACUCACACUGACACGACGUUGACGUUUCAUUCGCUUCAAUCGUGAUUCUCUGUUCUGAGCGUAAAAAAUCACCUAAAGUUUUGUUCUGCAAGAACUCACGGACAAGAACAUCUUCUUCCCACACUUCCGGAUUGAUCAAAAUAUCAAAAUCGUCUUCAUUUAAUUCGAUUUUGAACGAAACGAACUUCAAUGUGGUGACAUCUUUGUCUUUUUUCACUAGUUUGGGCACAUUGAAUCUCGAUUUCUCGUUUACCUGCGUUUUUGCCAUGAUAUAGUCAUUAAUUUUUUCGGUUGUGGUCAUUGGAUUGAAUCCAGAUACCCAAAUUGCCUUUUUAAAUGUUGGUUUUUCGGCUCGUUUUGGUUUGUCAACCACUCUGAGUCGAUGUGUGGCCGAUUUUGUCCCUGUUUUUGGUUUUGGUGCAUCGAAUUUGACAUUAUUGGCCGGUGGAAUAAUCGAUUUCGGUGAAUCCUCAGUUCGUGGUCGUGGCUAAUGGUGUUUUCAUUUUUUGUGCGGUGAAUUUCGUGUUUUUCGAUGUAAUCGGUGUGUUCGGUGCAUUUUGAUUCGGGUGCAAAAGAGCCGGUCGGAGCACUUUCCUCGCUAUCAUUUUCGUUGAAUUAUCAAUGCCGGUUGUUUUUUCGUCGAUUGUGUCCAAUUUUUUUGAAUUUUCUUCAAUCACAAUGCGGAGCGAUUUUACCUCGUUCAUAAUUUGACGAAUAGACAUUUUAUCCGGUUUUGGUGUUGAUUUUGUUCCAAAUGACGCGUUCAAAUCGUUCGAUUGUGUACCGUUUGACGUUUCAUUGGCGCGCACAUUGCAAAAAAAUCGAAUGUUCGGAGAUGAAAUUUGGCUAACUUUCAGGUUAAUUUCAAUGCACAGAAGAUGAAUGCAUCCAUUGCAGUUGAAACACUUUGUGGUCUGAUCGGGUUUAAUCUUUUCUCGUGGACAAUCGUCCCUCGAACAAUUUUUGUUUGUUGUCAUUCCGUUGCUUGAAAAAAAGUCACUGUUUACACAGAAAAACAACAACAACACUAUGGUACAAAAAUGUUCAAUUUUUCAAUCGCAGUAAUAUUAUCAAAAACACAAGAAAAUUACUAAACUUCAUGUAAUUCUAAUAGAAAUCACCGUAAUGUCGUUAAAUAUAUAUAUUUGGUUAAUUAAAAUAACAUUCAAAUGAUAAAUAAAUACAAAAAACACAGAGCUAAAAACAAUAGUCGGUUUUCGCUUUGACAGCUAAACGUCAUCAUUUAUUUGUUCGGAUUUAGCUAUUUAUUUCCUCGUAACCAACACAGCCGCCAGUUAUUGUUUAUUAUCCAGUUCAUUUGUCGAGAUUGGCAACUUGUAAAUUGAUUGUGAAGUGCAAGUGUGGCAAAUUCUCAAAUUCAAAUUAGUGAAGCGAUAGAAAUUCUAGGCACUGAAAAGGGAUAACGAUUCGUCUAAGCAGCCACAGAAGACCCAAAAGAAAUAGGAAACUUUGUUUGACAAAGACGAUUAAGUUUCUCUCGCUGUCGUAAUGGGGGAUCAAAAACCAAGUAAUUCUCGAGCUAGUAUGGAAAAUGAUCGUCUGAUUGUUUCUUCUGGAACUUUCAAUUCCGACCAAGAAGUUACGCGUAUUUAUUUUGGAAAUACUGGCGUCAUUGAUUACAUACAAUUUCUGCAAUCAGUCGGAUAUGAAGGUCACUUGGUGUUUUCAAAGGCAAUAUUUUUUCACGUGAGGACAGAAUGUUUGUGCAAGGCAAUUUUAGCUUUGAAAUGCCCACGUCUGAUGCUAUUCAAAUAUUUGGACCUGCAAACGAACGUCGAGAGCGCAUUUUUCCUACGUUUCCGAGCGUCUUCAUAAACAACAAUGUACCAGUGGACAGACCGAAUUCUCAAAUGGGUGUAGGUACUCGAGAUAGUAACUCCAGUCAUGAGCCGAACUCGUCAAGCGAGUCCAAAAGCCACAAUACUAGCUCGAAAGCAAUGAAUAACGUUUCCUUUUUUGUGUCCAACCGAAUGCUCCCGCUAUGGGAAAUAAAAAAGAGAUGCCAUAUAAUUCGGCAAUAAACAAAAA